AACUCAGCCGCUGUGAAAGCUAAUCAAAUUUUCUCAGUUUCUGCGUGAAACUUUAUAAGUUCGUUUUCCUGCUGCCUGCCACAGCUGCUGCCAAGUUGAGCGGCAAGAGGAACUAUUUGGGCCAAGCUGUCACGUAGCAGGCACAUUUUUUCAUAUUAUCCAUUGCAUAUUUCGGCGACUUCUUUGCUGGUUCAUAGACAUGCCGUGAAGUGCCAACAAAAGA